rnacentral:rRNA from 1 species
CAUGCCGUAAACGAUGAGUGCUAAGUGUUAGGGGGUUUCCGCCCCUUAGUGCUGCAGCUAACGCAUUAAGCACUCCGCCUGGGGAGUACGACCGCAAGGUUGAAACUCAAAGGAAUUGACGGGGGCCCGCACAAGCGGUGGGGCAUGUGGUUUAAUUCGAAGCAACGCGAAGAACCUUACCAGGUCUUGACAUCCCGAUGGCCCCUCUAGAGAUAGAGUUUUCCCUUCGGGGACAUUGGUGACAGGUGG